CGAACGGCAGCGCGGACUUCGGUCUGGCGGCGAGUGGCGAACGGGUGAGUAAUGCAUCGGAACGUACCUUUCAGUGGGGGAUAACGUAGCGAAAGUUACGCUAAUACCGCAUAUUCUGUGAGCAGGAAAGCAGGGGAUCGCAAGACCUUGCGCUGAUGGAGCGGCCGAUGUCAGAUUAGCUAGUUGGUGGGGUAAAGGCUCACCAAGGCGACGAUCUGUAGCGGGUCUUAGAGGAUGAUCCGCCACACUGGAACUGAGACACGGUCCAGACUCCUACGGGAGGCAGCAGUGGGGAAUUUUGGACAAUGGGCGCAAGCCUGAUCCAGCCAUGCCGCGUGAGUGAAGAAGGCCUUCGGGUUGUAAAGCUCUUUCGGCCGGGAAAAAAUCGCUUGGGUUAAUACCCUGAGUGGAUGAUGGUACCGGAAUAAGAAGCACCGGCUAACUACGUGCCAGCAGCCGCGGUAAUACGUAGGGUGCGAGCGUUAAUCGGAAUUACUGGGCGUAAAGCGUGCGCGGGCGGUUUUGUAAGACAGGCGUGAAAUCCCCGGGCUCAACCUGGGAACUGCGUUUGUGACUGCAAGGCUAGAGUAUGGCAGAGGGGGGUGGAAUUCCACGUGUAGCAGUGAAAUGCGUAGAGAUGUGGAGGAACACCAAUGGCGAAGGCAGCCCCCUGGGCCAAUACUGACGCUCAUGCACGAAAGCGUGGGGAGUAAACAGGAUUAGAUACCCUGGUAGUCCACGCCCUAAACGAUGUCAACUAGGUGUUGGGUGGGUAAAACCAUUUGGUACCGUAGCUAACGCGUGAAGUUGACCGCCUGGGGAGUACGGCCGCAAGGUUAAAACUCAAAGGAAUUGACGGGGACCCGCACAAGCGGUGGAUGAUGUGGAUUAAUUCGAUGCAACGCGAAAAACCUUACCUACCCUUGACAUGCCAGGAACUUGCCAGAGAUGGCUUGGUGCCCGAAAGGGAGCCUGGACACAGGUGCUGCAUGGCUGUCGUCAGCUCGUGUCGUGAGAUGUUGGGUUAAGUCCCGCAACGAGCGCAACCCUUGUCGUUAAUUGCCAUCAUUUAGUUGGGCACUUUAACGAGACUGCCGGUGACAAACCGGAGGAAGGUGGGGAUGACGUCAAGUCCUCAUGGCCCUUAUGGGUAGGGCUUCACACGUCAUACAAUGGUCGGUACAAAGGGUUGCCAAGCCGCGAGGCGGAGCCAAUCCCAGAAAGCCGAUCGUAGUCCGGAUCGCAGGCUGCAACUCGCCUGCGUGAAGUCGGAAUCGCUAGUAAUCGUGGAUCAGCAUGUCACGGUGAAUACGUUCCCGGGUCUUGU
rnacentral:rRNA from 1 species